rnacentral:lncRNA from 1 species
UUUGAAGUCUGGUCUGGUACCAUAUUGAAUGAUGGUUGAACUUUCGGGAUUGUUUUGAGUCAAAUCUUUGUCUUCCACAGGUCCAUAACUAGGAGUAGAUUCAACCUUUAUCCUGUCGAUAUCUUCAUCUUUGUCAUUCGCAGAAGCUUUUUUAUCCCAGAGAUGCCAUAAACCGAUCACAAGACCACCAAAGAUAACAACACUCAUGACCAUGCAUGCAAUGAAAAGAAGGCCUAGGUACCACCAGGUAGAUACAUUGUAUGGCUUUAUGUAGAAAAUCUGUAACAGUGCCAUUAACACGAUAAAUCCGACUGUUGAUAUAAUAACGUAUAGGCCAGACCAUACGUUGUUUCCAGUGCCAACCAACGGCGACAUGCUGCGGCCCGAGAAAGGGCAGGAAGAGCUCGAUGCCACAUGAACCUUCCCUUCUUCCUGCAGGUAACAUCAAUGGCAGAUGAAAUUUAAGAAAAUGGUAAUGGUUAUGUUUGAAAGCAAAGGAGGAGUUGAGCAUAAACUGGACAUACCAUUGAAGGUCCGGAUUCUCGAGUGACAUAAAUAUCAAUCUCGAGAUUUAUUUUGUUGGAGAAAAAUGGGCAAAUUGAUUCCAUGUCGAUACUUGAAAGAAGCGGAAGUUCAUCCGACUUUUUAACGGCCCAAACAACCAAAAUCUUUCUUGGUAGACAUGGUUUUCCAUCACUAACGCGAUGGAGGAUAUCACUUAAGAUCGCUAAGAA